ACUCAAAUGAAUUGACGGGGGCCCGCACAAGCAGCGGAGCGUGUGGUUUAAUUCGACGCAACGCGAAGAACCUUACCAGGGUUUGACAUGGCCUCGUAAGCUGGUGAAAGCCAGCCCCUCGCAAGAGCGGGGUCACAGAUGCUGCAUGGCUGUCGUCAGCUCGUGCCGUGAGGUGUUGGGUUAAGUCCCGCAACGAGCGCAACCCUCGGGGCUAGUUACCGUGUCUAGCCCGACUGCCGCGACAAACGCGGAGGAAGGUGGGGAUGACGUCAAGUCAGCACGGCUCUUACAUCCUGGGCGACACACACGCUACAAUGGACGCGACAACGGGCAUGCCAAGCCGCAAGGCGGAGCGAAUCCCAUCAAAGGCGUCCUCAGUUCAGAUUGGAGUCUGCAACCCGACUCCAUGAAGGCGGAGUUGCUAGUAACCGCGGGUCAGCACACCGCGGUGAAUACGUUCCCGGGCCUUGUACACACCGCCCGU
rnacentral:rRNA from 1 species